rnacentral:rRNA from 1 species
UACGAAGGGGGCUAGCGUUGCUCGGAAUGACUGGGCGUAAAGGGCGCGUAGGCGGAUGGCACAGUCAGAUGUGAAAUUCCCGGGCUUAACCUGGGGGCUGCAUUUGAUACGUGUUGUCUUGAGUUCGGAAGAGGGUCGUGGAAUUCCAUGUGUAGCGGUGAAAUGCGUAGAGAUAUGGAGGAACACCAGUGGCGAAGGCGACUUUCUGGUCUGUAACUGACACUGAGGCGCGAAAGCGUGGGGAGCAAACAGG